ensembl:lncRNA
CCGCUGUGUUCUGGUCCUUCACGAACUCGGACAGGUGGGAAUACACCAAACGCUCAGAUGAAACUCCGAGACAUUCGAAGAAAGUGUGUGCCAAUGAAAACGCUAAGAGGCGGAUGUACAUGCACCCAGCCAAUGGGUACAAGAUGUAAACAGAGUUUGCCCACCGCCAGAGAAGAAAUUGCCGCGGCAGUGCCUGUAGACACAGUGGGGCCACCAAAAUGUUUUGCCCGCGAGGUGGGGGGCCCAACCAAAUCUUGCCUAGGCCCACCCAAAGGCCAAGGCCGGCCCUGGAUGCACCAAGCACACUGGUUUAGUGUGGAAGGCAUGAUAUAGUCUGUGUACAGUGUUAUUUUGGACUGCUUUGAGGGUGUGUUCUUUCUGAGCACCAUGCUAAAUGAUGAAAUUCAGAGUGGUGUGUGUGCAAUACCCUCAUCCUAUGAAUCACUAGUAUUCCUUUUAGUCUCACAACAGUGGGGGGCUGGAGAAGGGGUUGCUCACUGCAGCCUACAUUUGUUUUAGUUUUAACAUUUGACCAUGUUUUUUUUGUUUUGUUUUUCCUCAGUGAUGGAAUGUACUACAAAAAAGUACAUUUUUUCCCCCUUGACAAUGAUUUGAAAUGUAUUUUAUUUCAAUGAAUGUCUGAGGUAAUAAUGAUAAUGUUACUGUAUCCAAUUUAUUUUGUUACUGUAUAGAUUUUCUGAGGGAGUAUGUGAGAUAGGCAUCCAGCACACUCAAAAGUGCAUUAUAGGAUCUGUGCCUUCAGGGUAAAACUAUUGGAGACACAGCCAGAGGAAACUCAUAUCUCUUCAUUUUCCCUAGGUAUUUAUCUUCCAAAUGUACACGUGAAUUUGAGAACCAUUUAAAACACAAAACACUCCACUGAACUGUCUGCCUCCUACUGAAAGGAUGUGCAGUUAAAAAUAGUGUGCAGGUCAAGGUUCAUCUCUCAGCCUGGCUAGCUGGUUGUACAUAAGUUGAUGGAGCCAGCCUGUUAACAAACAAGCGGUGGACAUCAACAGGCUCACUCCCUGCUGUAUUUACCAAGGAGCCUUCUGGCAUCGCAAGGCUUCUCCAUGUCUCCCUGCGGCUGCUCCCCCGAUACACAGCCCUAAUGAACCCUGGGCCUCUCAUCAGCCCUGCAACACUGGGAGGCAGACCACCCCGACACACGCACACACACAGGCACAGAGGCACAUGCACACACACAGGCACAAACGCACGUACCCACAGACAUGGACACACACAAAUACACAGACAUGGACAGAUACACAAAAUUGCAAUGAAGGUCUCCUCUAAAACCAGACUUUAGGCAUUGUAGAAGACACCGCACAGAGUAGCCCUAAAGCCAGAGUGAGCUGAGGACAACCUUACAUUGAAGUACCUGUGUGCGUGUGUUUAAAUAAACCAGAGAUGUUUAAACCUGUGUGACUUGUGUGUAUGUGGGUGGUAGGAGGUAGCGCUAUACCCCUGGGCACUGGCUCCGAACCUGCCACACACACUUGCCCAUCUCCGCUUGAUGGGGCAAACAGCGUCGGGAUGAGUGAGUGUGUCUGCCGCGGAAUCUUGUUGAAGCCGCCUACUGGCGCGGCCACAAUUUUCCCGGACAGGUGGGUCCCAAAGGCAAAGUGCUUAGUGAUCAGGAGCAAACCCCAGCGAGCGGCUACAAGGAGAUUCAUGAUCCCAACAGUGCUGAGCGGGACAGGUUCGCCGCAACGCGUCGUCAGCCCGGAUGAGAGGCAAAUUUAUUGGGCAACGGUUAUGAAGCGAGGCAGCGGAGCGUAGUGGCAGCGGAGCGUAGUGGCAACAACAGUUCUACACGGAAUGGCGAAGGAAGGUGUCACAGUCAUCA